UUUCAUUUGUAGGCUACACGUGGAGCAUCUCGCUGCAUCCUAUUGGAGACACUAAACCCUUAUCUCCUUCUUCAUCAUUUUCGGGCGUUCAUUUGUGUUGAAUCGAGAGCAACGACAGCGUUCAUAUCGGGCGACAAAUGCUCCCUUUCUUGCCGGAGAUUCAUUUCCUGUGAACCACCAUGUUUGCUAUUGCUGUGUUCAAUCUUGUUUCAUCUUAUCCCAUUACACUAUGCUCAAUCGCUAUAUCUCUCUAUGAUUUCUGUCCCUAAAAUUUUAUUUUUAAUUUUUUUAAAUUUACAGAUCUGAUUCUUUAUGCAUGUUAAUUUUUGAAAUUCCUCUACAAUAUCUUGUUUUCUAAUUCUGGGCAGAUUGAAUUUUUCUUUGUUGUCUUCUUCAACGUCUUACUCAUUUGGUAGAAGGGUACUGUCCGGAAGUGGUAACUCAUACUGUAGCCUAAUUUUUUGUUGAGCCCGGUAAGUGGAUUGACGAAGUACAGCUAUUAGGGUAUCCACAGACCUAUCCAUCGGUAUUAAUUGUAUAAGUGUUGAUUUUGUAUGAGCAGACAUGUUAGUUUCCCAGGUACGUUCAUCCACUUACAUGUUCUAGUAAUUGGUAAUGUUUUUUUAUUAAUCUAUUUUAUUCAGCUUACCAAAAAAACUAUUUACAUUAUACUUGAGAUAAGUCUAUCAAAGAGAUUGCUUCUUGUGUUCCACUUAGUUUUUCUGGCACUUCAUUAUGUGAACAUUUUGCUACAAUUUUCUGCCCCUCCAUAUGAUUAGGUCUUAAUACACAUUAUAUUGCCUAAAUGGUUGGUUUCACCCAGUAAUUGGAUUCCUUGCUGGGUAAAAUUACUUUCCAAUACAGAUAUGAGCCCAUCCAUUUAAUGUGACCAUAACUUGCAGUCAA